rnacentral:sRNA from 1 species
AGCUGCUUCUAGAAUCCUCUCAAGCCUGGCCAGCUUCUGGCCAGGAAGCGUUGUUGACUGGAUUUAAGUUGGGUUUCCUUAAGUAAUAGUAAGGGUUCUAAAAAGAUGAAGGUGUGAAGUCUAAAGAGAUGGCUGCUAGAGACGCAAGGCUUCCCACCAUUUUUUUUUUUUUUUUUUGUCUUUCCCGUUUUACAUCUUCACAAUGAAAUAUAAUUUGAUGUUUGCCCUUGUUUGAAUACUCCAUGAAGAUGAGGAGAAUACAUGUUUGUGUCUAACAGUGUCUGGCAUGUGAUUACUCAAGGAGCCGUCUCAUGUAGAAAGACACCCUCAUAGGCUCUCACAAACUGUUGCAAGCAUCUCAAAUUUUAUUGACUGCUGGGUCUUACAAUUCUUCACCAGAUGGCUUUGAACACAGUUCGAUCAUCAAUCUCAUUGAUGCUACUGAUAAUUCUAUUGGAACAGCAGGAGAUGGCUCUAGCUCCUAAACCUGCCACUCGAAACACCUGUCAUCACCUCCAAAGAUCUUUCCAAUCCCCACUGGUACAGUUGUAACUCAAUCACUUCGCAAGACAGAUAAUUGCAUGUGGCCAAAGAUGUACCUGGUCAACAGGACAGGUUAGACUAUCUGCUCUCAGGUAGUCCCUCCAAAUCAAUGGCUAGACUCGGUUGUUCAAAAUGAAUAGGAAAUCCUAAGGCUUAUCAGCAAAUUGGAAAGUCAUGUUGGAGGUCCUAUCGAGCUAGGCUCCUAAAAGAUAUAGUCCCCACCUGGAGGAGGGGAUCGAAGAAUUUUAAACAGCUCUUUCAUUUUAGGGCCACUAUUUGUGCCCUAAGACUAUGCUUCUUGUACAGAAGCUAGCUAUUAAUUUGCCUCCCACUCAAACAUGUUUGCUUAAAAACUUUAAUUGUGGUUAUUAGGGAAGUUCAGAGUGAUUUGGGUCACAUUACCAGAGAUCAUGUAUCCAAAACACAACUGUGGAGAUCUCUCCCAAAUGUAUCUACCCUUGUUUACUCAUGGGAACUUCCUGGGAAUGUAACUGACUCAUUACAUUGUCACAACUGUGGGCAGUUUCCCUAAAAUGGGAAUCAUCCAGUUAGAAAGGGUAGUAAAAAAUAUGUGUCCAACUUUAUCUAAAGUCAUCAGUGAUGCCAUCUGACCCUUGAAAGGUAUUCAGGUCGGCCGGGUGUGGUGGCUCACACCCGUAAUCCCAGCAGUUCGGGAGGCUGAGGUGGGCAGACCACCUGAGGUCAGGAGUUUGAGACCAGCCUGACCAAUAUGAUGAAUUUUUAGUCUCUACUAAAAAUACAAAAGUUAGCCAGGCAUGGUGGCAUGCGCCUGUAAUCCCAGCUACUCAGCAGCUGAGACAGGAGAAUCACUUGAACACAGGAGGCGGAGGUUGCAGUGAGCCGAGAUUGCACCAUUGUACUCCAGCCUGGGCAACAAGAGCAAAACUCUGUCUAAAAAAAAAAAAAGAAGAGAAAGAAAGAAAAAAGAAAGGUAUUCAGAUCAGCCUCAACUCACUGGUAAGGAUUGCCUUAGAUUUUUAUCCUUGAGGGCCAAGGAUUAGUCUGUGUAAUUGAAAAUAUAUCCUGCUGGAUUAAUGCCAUGGACCAUUUCAAUGCAGAAACUUGUGAAAGACACUUCUUGGUUUUCUAAAGUAGACCUUAUUGAUGUAUAGGAAUUAUUCUAUAAAUACCUUGAAGGACAUGGAUGAGCAUAAUACUGCAGAUUGACCAGAUCUACUUGUUUAGAGUACUAGAGAUAGUAGCCUUAUGGUCAGAUUAUUCAGGGCAGCUGUUGAGAUUAUUCAGGGCAGCUGUUGACAUGGCAUAAUCUAAUGGGAAAAUUUGCCAGAAACCAAGAUGAUAUUGAUUAGAGGGAGUGCUGUUUUGGGGAAACAAUUCUCUAUGGAUCUCUGAUGUCUCCAUGUCUUACAAGCAGAAGCACUGACUGCUGUUUGUCCUGGACUAUCUUUUAAGGCAUAUUUACAUAGAGAUAGUGUCUUCACGGGAGCAAAGUGCACACAUGCUUACUGCCCAGAUAAUGUUUCUCUGAGAGCAAAAAGCAGAAAUGCUUCCUGCUCAUUACUAAAGAUUCAUGUUUCUUAAGCUCAGUGUCUCUUUCCUGUGGACUACAACCCACUAAAUGUGCAUGUAUCAUCUGUCCCUACUAGUGUCUCCUUAUAGAAAUGGGGACCUGGGAACAGGUGCAAAAUAUAUGCUGAUACACUGGCUACUGGAAUUAGCUUAAAGUAAUAAACUCCCCUUUUUCUGUG